UGGGGAAUAUUGCACAAUGGGGGAAACACUGAUGCAGCGACGCCGCGUGAGCGAAGAAGUAUUUCGGUAUGUAAAGCUCUAACAGCAGGGAAGAAAAUGAGGGUACCUGACUAAGAAGCCCCGGCUAACUAUGUGCCAGCAGCCGCGGUAAUACGUAGGGGGCAAGCGUUAUCCGGAUUUACUGGGUGUAAAGGGAGCGUAGACGGCAUGGCAAGUCUGAUGUGAAAGGCGGAGGCUCAACUUCUGGAUUGCAUUGGAAACUGUCAGGCUGGAGUGCCGGAGAGGUAAGCGGAAUUCCUAGUGUAGCGGUGAAAUGCGUAGAUAUUAGGAGGAACACCAGUGGCGAAGGCGGCUUACUGGACGGUAACUGACGUUGAGGCUCGAAAGCGUGGGGAGCAAACAGG
rnacentral:rRNA from 1 species